UUUCCUGUGGCGACACGUGACUUACGUCAAAUCGACGAACUAAUUCCGCAAAUGGGAGCAGGUGAAAACAUGAUUAUUUGAACAAAUCAAGAGCACGUACAGUAACUUACGAAAGUAUUCGAACACUUGUAGAAAUCUUUUACCACUAUAUUCUGUGUGUUAUACGAAAUAUCUCGAAGUUUCAGUAACAGUGUAAUGAGACCGGUUAUCACGGUUAUAUUGGUACAACUUGAAAUAAAUCUGAAAAUGUACAAGGAAGCUACAACGUAUUUAGUCAGUUUCAGAUUUAACAAAUAUAAUGAAGACAAUCAUGUCUCAUUAGAACAAUAACGAAAUUUUGAAGUGUUUUAUAUAACACCUAUAAGGUAUACAUAAAAAUUUUCUAUAAAAUAUAAGAGAGAUAAAAGCUAUUUACUUAUAAAAAGCAUAAAAUAGUUCUUAAACUAUUUACCUCAUUAUUAUACAGAAUUAUAUAUUUCAUCAAAAUAAUUUGUUGCUUCAUAAUGAGAGGAAAAAAUAAUGUAAUAGAAGAAAGUUAUAUGUGAUUAAUUAGAAAAGAGAGAAAAAUCGUUGGUGUAAAUCAUAUACCGGUGAAGAACUUGUAUUUAGAGAUUAUUAUUUAUUUUCUAGUUUCACAACGUUCCACGUAAAAGAUGAAUUACGAUAGCAACUGCAAAUUACGAGUAGCUGAAAUGCAUUGACAAGUACUCAGAGAAGCAAGUUAACAUCUAUUCGUUAAUGAAAAUUUCGCAUAGUUGUUCAUAUACGAUAAGAUCAUUUCGCGUUUUUCAACAACAGAGGUACAACAAAACAGUGAACUAAAUGAGCUCGAAUCAAUAAUAAAGCACAUCUGCACAUACUUUAGACAUUUGUUUUAUUAGAACAAAUAUAAGGUUCAUUACAUUACAGAAGAAUCGCCAAAGAAGAGUUACCAAACUACUUAGAGGGGAGGAUGAAGUGGAAGGACAGAAGAAUAUCAGCAAGAUUCAGAUGUGGAAACAAGACCAAAGCAAGGGAAUACUGGAAAGAAGAGGGAGAAAAAAGAUGCAGACUAAAUAAAAGGAAAGAAGAAGACCUGAGACAUGUAAUAGAAGAAUGUGAAAUAACGGGAGGACCAAAGGACAUAGAAAAAACACUAAAUGAGACUGGAGAAGGAUUAACAGAACUAAAAGCAAUAAUAAAGAAGAGAAGGGCAAUACAAGACGGGGAAGAACGACAAGAAGGAAGUAUAGCAAGGAGGCAAAAGCCCAAAGUUACAAUAGUUCUUUAGUCAUUAGUUUUUAGUUUUUAAUCUUUUUUAGUUUUUAGAGAUAGAAUAAUUAAGGCAGUGCAAUGUAAUAGAGUGGAUAAGAGGGGAGGUAGAUAUAUAAGAAGCGAAAUAGGUACAAGAGAUGUAAAACCGAAAGUUCGUCCAAGGCACGGACUAAGCAAUAAUAAAUAAUAAAAUAAUAAAUAUAAGUUUCAUAAAUUACCACAUUGAAAACAUUCUUGAAAAUCAUCAGUAUAUGUCUGGAAAAUUACAAAUUAUUCUCUAAUUACAAAA